GGGCCUGGGGACACACACAGGUGGGACAGACUGUCCUGGAAGCCCAUGAAAGCCACUACACUGCUGGCACUGUAUCUGGUGCAUGAUGGGCCCCCAGUGUCUCCGUCUCCCGCAGCCGUGACUGCUCCAGCUCAGUCUCCAGCUACCCAGGCCUGCUUGCUGCCCUCAACAAGGGUCUCUGAGAUCCAUGGGUACCAGUGGACCUCCCUUGGCCUAGAUGGGGUUCGGGCCCCAUACCAAGUGCCAGCCCUGCCAGGCUGCACCUUCUCCAAGUGUCUCUCCCAGAGAUGGUGCUCAAGGGCCUGUGUCUACGGCACUAGCUGCCUCAUCCAUCUAAAGGCCAGAGUUCACAGGUGGCAGGAACAAAGAAUCAACUCAAAUUCCUGCACCAAGGCCUAAGCCAAGGUCUCCAGGCCUGGGGCAUGUGUGCACAGGUGCACUCUGAGCUUGGGGGCUUCAGCUGCUGUCAGAUCAUCAGAUAAGGAAGGAAACCUGCUGGGUCUUCUGUUGCUGAGCUGCACUGCUGCCGCACCACCGCCAGCUCCCGCUUGAUGACAUAAUUUUCCUCGGCCUCCUGUGCCCGUGUCACCUGUCCCUGAGCCCAUCGAGGAUAGUUUCUGACUGUCAGCCUCUGUCCCAGGGGAGGAGAAGCAAGUCCUUAUCCAGGGAUGAUGGCACACCAGAGGUCAGCCCCUGCUGGUGAGGGUGGGGGCAGGGUUGGGAGGUGGAAAGCCUCUCCCCUGACUUUCCCCAGUCCUGAACCCUGGGGCCUUUAACUGCCAGGGGCUAAGAUCCAGGCCCCCAGCCUCAUUCCCUCACCCCACCCAAUGUAGGUUCCCCCAUUCCAGGCUCAGAGCCACCAGGCAGAAGCUUCCAGAUAAAGCCAUUCAAGAUGAGGCAGCAGCAG